rnacentral:rRNA from 1 species
GAGUUUGAUCCUGGCUCAGAUUGAACGCUGGCGGCAGGCCUAACACAUGCAAGUCGAGCGGUAGAGAGAAGCUUGCUUCUCUUGAGAGCGGCGGACGGGUGAGUAAUGCCUAGGAAUCUGCCUGGUAGUGGGGGAUAACGCUCGGAAACGGACGCUAAUACCGCAUACGUCCUACGGGAGAAAGCAGGGGACCUUCGGGCCUUGCGCUAUCAGAUGAGCCUAGGUCGGAUUAGCUAGUUGGUGAGGUAAUGGCUCACCAAGGCGACGAUCCGUAACUGGUCUGAGAGGAUGAUCAGUCACACUGGAACUGAGACACGGUCCAGACUCCUACGGGAGGCAGCAGUGGGGAAUAUUGGACAAUGGGCGAAAGCCUGAUCCAGCCAUGCCGCGUGUGUGAAGAAGGUC